rnacentral:rRNA from 1 species
UGGUGGAGUGAUCUGUCUGGUUAAUUCCGAUAACGAACGAGACUCUCCCCUGCUAAAUAGUCGGCUGGAUCUUGCUAGGUGAGUUGUACGCCGGGAUUUUCCUGAGCUCGAGCCCAGCGUUGUCGUUGCGUGUGCGGCGUUUCCGUUUCGGCGGUUGCGUUUGCUGCGCGCUCGCGCGCCGGUGUCUUGGGCCCCGGGUGCCCGGACCGUGCACUCCAAGUCCGUCGCUUAAGCUA